GACGAACGCUGGCGGCGUGCUUAACACAUGCAAGUCGAACGGAAAGGCCCUGCUUUUGUGGGGUGCUCGAGUGGCGAACGGGUGAGUAACACGUGAGUAACCUGCCCUUGACUUUGGGAUAACUUCAGGAAACUGGGGCUAAUACCGGAUAGGAGCUCCUGCUGCAUGGUGGGGGUUGGAAAGUUUCGGCGGUUGGGGAUGGACUCGCGGCUUAUCAGCUUGUUGGUGGGGUAGUUGCUUACCAAGGCUUUGACGGGUAGCCGGCCUGAGAGGGUGACCGGCGAAAUUGGGAAUGAGAUACGGCCCAGACUACUACGGGAGGCAGGAGUGGGGAAUAUUGCACAAUGGGCGGAAGCAUGAUGCAGCAACGCCGCGUGCGGGAUGACGGCCUUCGGGUUGUAAACCGCUUUCGCAUGUGACGAAGCGUGAGUGACGGUAAUGGGUAAAGAAGCACCGGCUAACUACGUG
rnacentral:rRNA from 1 species